AUGGAAACAGCCAGUCACCAGAGACCACAUAAGGAAACAAUAGUGCUGCAAUUUGCCGCUGAGAACCUUUCAAAGACGACGCUGACUCCUGCACCUUUGGGCAGCCAAGGGCCAGCGCAGGUGUGGGCAGCCCCCAGAGGAUGCAAGAAGAGCAAACUGUGGAAGCUGGAAGGACCUUUGCAGGCACCUGGGAGCUGCCGUUAUUGCCACCUUCGACGUGCCAUAAAGGGGCCCUGAAGUGCUUGUGUGUGCGGCACACCCGAAUAAUUGCAAACAACAUGAUAUGAUGCUAGUAACACCAAAUUCUCAGGUUUCUGGAAUUAUCCCCAACAUUGAGCAAAAGCAAGAGUGCAGAUUAUAUUGUGAGAAGGCUUUAAUUUCUGACUCUUUAAAUAAAUAUUGAGAGUAUUGCAUAAGGCUUCCAUACCACACUGUUCAUUUAAAACAAAGUG
ensembl:lncRNA